rnacentral:lncRNA from 1 species
GAAACAGAAAAUUUGCAACAGAGACCUUCACAGCGCGAGUAAAUCGCGUGUACGCACCUCCACGUUCGACCUCGUGCGAUUCGGUACAUAAAAUGUCGCAACUUUGCGAAAUUACCGUUUUGCCAUCACCGACCUCUCCUCGAUCAACGCGCGAUCUCCGCAGAUCCGUCCGUCAGAUUUGCGAACGGAUUGCACCAGUGCGAUCAGCACCUCGGAGACAACAAAGCUACACUUUCGAUUCAUUUCGAUCGACCACGGAUUCACAACAAAAUCCAACCUUCUUCCAAUAGAAGGAAACACACACACAAAUACAUAUAAAGCAUGUAUUUUUGGAUUUUCUCGAAAUCCGUGCGUCAAACUCAAAAUCCAUCAGCGCCAAUAAUUCCAGAACAGCUGAACCGGUCGAAACGAGCUAUUGGACUGAUGUGAACGGAGUCCGAUACACACCAGAAGCCAACUCUACUCCAUGGCUUCUCCGGAAAACCGGAGUUACUAUUCACUUAAGUGAAAACUGAAAGUCGCGUAUCUUCUCCAUUUUAGCUCAUUUUCGCCCGAAACUUGACGAGUGCUUAUGUAAUUAAAUUACACACAUAAACAUCAUCAACAGAGAGUUUAGUUGCACUGUCAAAAAAAAUCUCAGUCCUUACAUCAUCCCCCCCUUAAAAGAAGUUUCGUCCUCGAAACUUGACCACGUACCCACCGUAAACAAACUCUGACAUUGCCCUACCAACGCGGUAACACCUUUGGAUACUGGUCAGUCACAAUUCUAGAAUUGGACAGAUCAACCUUAGAAAAGGGGAGAAUAGGACUGCGGUUCCACAAGAACAAGACGAGGGGAACGUACCAAACCAAAGUCUGCGGACCAUAACACACCGGGAUCAACACCAUCCUGUAACCUUGGUCCGAAAAGCCUCAACCGACUCGACCACGUCACUAAGUUCACGAGAAAGAAUCACGAGCCAACACUACCAAACUGGAGUCUAAUUACCUAGAUCGGAGCAAAAUAUUUUCGACUAGCCAGCAAUAUCAACUUGCUCACCACGAGCGAAAACGAAACGUUCUCCUAAAACUCGAGUUGGUAGAAACAGCCUCUGAGACUACAGUCUCCCACUAACCGAUCACACAACUACCGAAGUCAAGUCCACAUCCACGGAAAGCCGCCUUUGACAUUCGACAGUCUUAGGUCCCACAACCUCACCUUUCACCUGACCGAAAAGGUCGAGGGCUGACAAUACUAAUUGAGCUCGACAAUUCGCUUGCUCAAAUAAAACUGGUUCGACUAAACCAAUAAACUCGCCAUGCAAGUCCCAAAACUUGGUGCACAGGAUUGCCAAUCGCACUAUACGAUACCAACCAUCGGUGAUGCUCAACACCUGUCUCUAUAAGACCCUGUCGCUGCCGUCCUACAAAGGACCCUAGCAAUCGGUGUUUCGAGCAACACCAGAUAACUGCCUCAUUGAGACCCUGGCGCACCUGUCACCAAUUAACCGGACAAGCAUACAAUUCCAAAGUCGCACAAUAGGCCAAAAUACAAUCCUUACACAAUAUCACCUACGAUGACAAUCAAAGCCAACAACUAGGCUCAAGUCACUCAACCAGAAAUUCUGAACCUCAAGACAACAGACCGAAACUACUACCCAACAAACCUUUUAGCUAAAAGCGAGCACAACUAAGAGCAAUGAACAACUAAGAGCAUUAAACUCAUCUCACACUUCCGGCUGGUAAUUGGCUCUGAUACCAUCUGUGACGCCCCAACUUCCCAGGGGGUCACCCAUCCUAGGACUACUCCCGUCCUAGCACGCUUAACUCUCUUAACCUCUUGGGUCUUGCCACCACCCAAAAUGCUUAAGCCGGGUUAAGAGUUUAGCCCUAUUAUAUCUCAUAUAUAGGACUAUCUGGGGUCUCACAAUCUCCUCUCCUUUAAGCCCUGACGUCCUCGUCAGGCUCAGACUCACAAAUACCAGGCGAUGUGAGACUCGUCUCGCUAGCCCGUCAUCCAGACCCUGGCUCAGCCGAGACUCAUCUCACACUUCCGGCUGGUAAUUGGCUCUGAUACCAUCUGUGACGCCCCGACUCGAACUAAAGUCAGAACCACCUGCAGUGAUGAUAAAUCAACUGCGCAAACCUGCCAAGAGAAUCCAAGGCCCACUACGUGGUCAAAGAUGACCGAUACCUAGCCAUCCUCACAAAACUAUCUCUCUAGCUUUUCAUACAAAACAGCCUAGAGAACACAUCGACCCAAUCCAUAAGUCCCAAAUGGGAAGAUGGUAUUUCGUUCCUCUUUCGACAGUAUAUUGUCUGCAGCCAAUAUACUUAUCAAAAGAAAAGCGAAAUAUCCGGAGAUCCACUACCAACAACCUGUUGGAAGUACAACGCGAUAAAGUAUCAAGCCACUUGAUACCUCUCUACUGAACCAGAAGCUCACAACCAUUACUAUCGAAACAUCGACUUUACGAGUCGACAUUCGAAAUUAGAACGACCCUGGAACAUCUCGAAUCUAGACCAACUACAACUAACACACAACACACCAAUUUGGGUGUUAGAAUAACCGCAUACGAUGUAUGCCUUAACGAAAACAUGACACCAAAACUGUGUCAAUCCGACUCUAGUACAUGUCAAUUGACGGAAGAACGAGAUAAAGGUCAAAAGAUCCAAACCGCUGAUUUCAUCAGCAAUCAAGGAAAAGAGGUAGACAUCACAGCCCUACCCAAAGAUCUGAAGAAACAACACCAACAAUGCAGUCGUCUAAACGACCGCUAACCAAACCUUGGGCUACGCCCUAGUAGCCCCACGGAAGUCGCGACCUUAACAGAUCUCAACGCCGUCCGCAAAGACACUCGCAGUAGCACUCGUGUCCUAAGUAGGAAGAGUGGCUCGGGCAUCGGCAAUAGAAUAAUUGCCUAUGCUCGAAAAUCUCACAUGGCCCUUCAGGGCCCCCACCUGACAGGAGUGGCACCACCUGGGGGAACGUCGCCCCACCACUCGAUGUCCGAAAAAGUGCACCGCCACUACUCCCGACUUAGACACCAGCUUGUGCGAAAACCGAAGUACGAAAAGAAGUAACCCUGCACCUCGAGUUUACCAAACUCGAAUACACACCGGGACACAAGCCCAAACCCCGCACUCACGUGCCUAUACACCGUAGGUCUUCCUAUAGGUCAACCUAACCAAUGGUAUCAGAGCAAAAGGUUACAACCACAACACCAUUCACAGGACCCCUGGGAAGUUGGGGCGUCACACUUUUGUUCAAUUUUCAUUUCCAAGUUUCUGCAUUUCCUGAUUUUUUUUCUUAUUUACUUGGUUUCAUUUAUCCAUUACUAUUUUUCCCCCCUUUUUCUAUUCUUCUUUAAGGCUAUGAUGAUAUGUAGAGAGAAAUGUGGAAAAUGUUGCUUUUGAAUGGGUGGAAGUUUGGACGGCCUACUCAGGCAACCGCUUCUGCCUUUUCUUAUUCUUAGUAUUUACACACAUUUCCCUCCAACGGUAAUCUACCACUCCCGUUGCACAUAUUUACUUCCCACAAUAGCUUACUUUUCCUGCUACUACUCAGUGCUUAUGAGUGGUGUUGCCGAACCUCCUUAACUGAGCCUUAUUUUUUUAUACAUUUUUUUCAGAUUGUUUGAAUUGUUUCUUUUGUCAUUACUUACUUUGGUUUAGCAUGUGCCUAUGGAGGUAAAAAAACAUAUGUUUUCAGUUGGAUCGAUUUUAUCCUGUAGGGACUCUUCUGAGCGUGUAUAUUAUUAGUAGAUUUGUUUUCCCUCUUUAAAUACACAGUAUAGUUGUUUAACAAAAACACUAUAUAUAGAGAUGUUUACUUGGUGAUGUUCUGUGUUGCCUACAAAUUUUCUCGGACAAAUAGAACAUGCGGACUAUAUAUCAGACCUAAUGAUGACAAGCGCUUUGCGUCAAAUUUCUUUUAUGCUCUUCUCUAUCAGUAUCUGUUCUCUGAUCACUGUCAGUUUACAUCCGCAUAUUUUGUUUUGUAAUUUUUUCUGUUUACUUUAAAGCUUGGGACUUCUUGCAUAUUGAGAUUCACACUAAUAUUACUUGGUUUCAUUUAUCCCUUGUUGUUUUUCCCCGAUGUUUCUAUUCUUCAACUAAAGGUAAGUGUGGAAAAUGCUGGUUGCAAAUGGUUGGAAGUUUGGAUGGCCUGCUCAAAGGCAACCGCUUCUAACUGUUCUUAUUCUUAGUAGUUGCACACAGUUUUCCUCCAAUGAUAAUCUACUAUUCGGUGACCACUUCUAUCUGCUCUUAUCCCUGGUCAUUGCACAUAUUUACUGCCUGCAGUAAUCUGCUGAUUUUAUUGCUACCCUGUGCUUAUGGGCGGUUUUGGCGAAUCUACUUAAGUGAGCCUUACUUUUCCUUGCAUUUUUUUAAACUUGUUUGUGCUGUUCCCGUUGUUACUCAACCCCCCUGUUUUUCAUGCGGCAUUAUAUUAUAAUUUAUACAAUUAUUUGGCCUGAUUCUUCCUUACCUACUUCUUAGGCGAACUUUCUAUGUGACGAAUCCUACGAAUCUACCAGCUAAAAAAAAUGUCCAAAAUCUUUUGUGAAAUUUCAGCAUAUAAUGAUUUGGGUGGUUACUUGAUGUCUGAACUGCUACAAUGUAUGCAGACCAUCAGAAUUUAUGUUAAAUGUGGUGCAUGUUAAUGGUCUCCGUUGCUUCGGUAUAUUGUUAUUUUACGAACAUUGCUUUGUUUCAUUUAUUCCUUACUGUCUCUUGCUAAUUUUCUUGCUCUUCUUUAAAGCUAUGAUGAUAGGUAGAGGGAAGUGCCGCAAAUAUUGGCUUCGAACGAGUUGCUGUUUGGACAGAGUGGAAGUUUGGAUGGCCUACUCAUAGGCAACCGCUUUCUCCUAUUGUGGCCUUUAGCGAUUGUGCACAUUUCUCUUCAAUGGUAAUCUACUGCUCAGCAACUAUUUCCUACCAUUCUUACUUUUUUUGUUGUCUCAUUUUUUAUUUUCUUGCUCUUCUUUAAAGCUAUGAUGCUAGGUAUAGGGGAGUGCCGCAAAUAUUUACUUCGAACAAGUUGCGGUUUGGACAGAGUGGAAGUUUGGAUGGUCUACUCAUAGGCAACCACUUCCUCCUAUUGUGGCCCUUAGCGAUUGCACACAUUUCUCUUCAAUGGUAAUCAACUGUUCUGCAACUAUUUCCUACCAUUCUUACUUUAGCCCCCGCAGCCACAUAGAACCAACAGCAAAAUGAACGGCCUUGAAUUACACGCGCUCAUUAGCUUAUAUUACCGAAAAUAAAAGGAAUAUUUCAUAUUUGAUGAAAAUCCGGUCCAAAUUAAGUUGUUUGAUGUAGCAAUAUUUAAUGGUUAAUUACUUGAAGAAGGCACUCUAGCCUCUCUUACACAGUUACACUAAUAAAUUAUAAAUUCUGAAUCCGAUAUUCUAAGAAUAUCUCAUUCCCUCAAAACGAGGGAAGUGUGGGAAAUGUUACUUUUGAAUGGAUGGAAAUUUGGCCGGCAUCCUCAUAGGCAACCGCUCCUUACUGUUCUUGCUCUUAGUAGUUACACACCUUUGCCUCCGCUGGUAAUCUACUACUCGGUAGUCACUUCUUGCUGUUAAUAUUCCUGAGCAUUGCACGUGUUGCCUCCACUGGUAAUGUACUACUCGGUGGUCACUUCUUGCUGUUCUGAUUCUUGCUUUGGGCUGAAUCAAGAGUUUUGGUUUUUUUUCUUUCUUUGGUAAACGCUCUACCUACUAAGAUUACUACUGGGAAAAAAAAAGUAUGUACAAAAACAAUGUCACGCCCCGGGGUCCCUCUCAGUUUAAAAGAUAGCGAAAAAGCGUCUGAAUUUUUUUUUAAAAAAAAAACCUGACCCCAGAGUAUGCCAGAUCCGCCACAAAUACAGGGAAUCCACUGUGCACACGGACAGAGUCUCCCCUGUAUUUGCACGGCGUCGCACAAGUACAAGAAGUAACCCAGGUACACCCACAACCAAAUGAAUAUACAAAUAACCAACAAUUAUAUAUUCAUACACCAUUCACAUCACAGGUUCACAUUUAUAUAUUCAAUAAUUAAACAUAAAUCCACAUCUAUCAGUUAAAAUGUUUCCAACCACAGAAACAGAUUUUGAAAUACUAAGAUACAAAAUCCACAGAAAACCUUUUGAAAACUGUUCCCUACACAGGAACUUUUAUCUUUUCAAAACGCUACCACGAGGGGUAGAAAACCAUUUUCAUUUCAAGAAAACACAAAUUCCUUUAUUACAUUCCAAAACCAACUGAAAACUCAGAUAUCCAAAUAGUAAAAUAAAACUGAACCAUAAUAUGUCUAAGUUAGUUAUUUAUUUAAGCAUGAAGGGUAAGGGAAGAUAAACCAAACCACGGGACGGAAAGCUCUAUCGUAUGCUAGACCCGAUCCUCACCAGCUGUCCCACUCGGACCUGCUACGUCACCUGUAAUGGGGGCGGGGGGUGAGAACAUGUAAACAUGUCUCCCCUCCCAGUGGGUACCGCAAGCCGAAGAAGGCGAGGGNNNNNNNNNNNNNNNNNNNNNNNNNCUCGAUCAACGCGCGAUCUCCGCAGAUCCGUCCGUCAGAUUUGCGAACGGAUUGCACCAGUGCGAUCAGCACCUCGGAGACAACAAAGCUACACUUUCGAUUCAUUUCGAUCGACCACGGAUUCACAACAAAAUCCAACCUUCUUCCAAUAGAAGGAAACACACACAAAUACAUAUAAAGCAUGUAUUUUUGGAUUUUCUCGAAAUCCGUGCGUCAAACUCAAAAUCCAUCAGCGCCACUAGUUCCAGAACAGCUGAACCGGUCGAAACGAGCUAUUGGACUGAUAUGAACGGAGUCCGAUACGCACCAAAAGCCAACUCUACUCCGUGGCUUCUCCGAAAAAUCGGAGUUACUAUUCACUUAAGUGAAAACUAAAAAUCGCGUAUCUUCUCCAUUUUAGCUCAUUUUCGUCCGAAACUUGACGAGUGCUUAUGUAAUUAAAUUACACACAUAAACAUCAUCAACAGAGAGUUUAGUUGCACUGUCAAAAAUCUCAGUCCUUACAAAUAUUCUUCAUUUAUUCAAUAUAAGUUAAACUUCUAACCCUAAACCCUAAACCUUCCGUGCUUCCAGGUCGUUUUCGAUGUUGCGACUUUCGAAUCGUCGAUCGGCUCCGUUAAACUUGAUCUAGUGUAUUUGAAGUACUUAGAAAAUAAAUUUUAUGAUUUUUCGAUAUCAUUUGCCUAGUGAUCGAAGGGGCUCAAAAUCAAAUAAUUUUAAUGGCCGUAGUGAGCCGUUUGCAAGUUUAACGGUGUAGAAAUAUCCAAAUCACGUGAAAUUUUGAUAGAAAAUUCUUUAUACUAUAUAAAAUAAGAUUAAUAUCUUUGAUCUAAUUUUUUUUUUUUGAGAGAUAGGUAGCACGCUACCCGCUUCGUUUAUUUCAUUUAGAAAUAAACUUAGCUAGAAAUGUGAGUCAACUAGGAUUCGAACUUGGGUCUCGAGUACCAACCACCAAGCCCUUUGCCACUUGCUCUAGGGACGGUCGGUUCUUUGACCUAAAAUUUAAAUGUCAUAUUAUCACGUUUUGUAAGAUUUUUAUUUUCAGCCGUUGAUUUUGAGCCCCUUAGUUCACUAGGCAAAUGAUAUCGAAAAAUUACAAAAUUUAUUUUCUAGGUACUUCAAAUACUCUAGAUCAAGUUUAACGGAGCCGAUCGACGAUUCGAAAGUCGCAACAUCAAAAACGACCUGGAAGCACGGAAGGCUCCAUGCUUCCAAAAGUAUAGUAGCCUCACUCUAU